GAUGACGGCCUUCGGGUUGUAAACCUCUUUCAGUAGGGAAGAAGCGAAAGUGACGGUACCUGCAGAAGAAGCGCCGGCUAACUACGUGCCAGCAGCCGCGGUAAUACGUAGGGCGCAAGCGUUAUCCGGAAUUAUUGGGCGUAAAGAGCUCGUAGGCGGUUUGUCGCGUCUAUCGUGAAAGUCCGAGGCUCAACCUCGGAUCUGCGGUGGGUACGGGCAGACUAGAGUGAUGUAGGGGAGACUGGAAUUCCUGGUGUAGCGGUGAAAUGCGCAGAUAUCAGGAGGAACACCGAUGGCGAAGGCAGGUCUCUGGGCAUUAACUGACGCUGAGGAGCGAAAGCAUGGGGAGCGAACAGGAUUAGAUA
rnacentral:rRNA from 1 species